CGGAAAUGUCAAGACGGUAGCCUCAUAUUUUCCCCUCACGUGACGAAUUCAUAAAAGAACAAUAUUUUGGUUGUCCAUGCAAUCCAACAAUUGAAUGCAGUAUUUUGCUCAUACAAGAGAAGCAACCAAAGAUCAUACAUCUACAGAGCUCCGCUGUCUCCAUUCCCG